GGAAUAUUGGACAAUGGGCGCAAGCCUGAUCCAGCCAUGCCGCGUGAGUGAUGAAGGUCUUAGGAUUGUAAAGCUCUUUCAGUGGGGACGAUAAUGACGGUACCCACAGAAGAAGCCCCGGCUAACUUCGUGCCAGCAGCCGCGGUAAUACGAAGGGGGCUAGCGUUGUUCGGAAUUACUGGGCGUAAAGCGCACGUAGGCGGAUAUUUAAGUCGGGGGUGAAAUCCCGGGGCUCAACCCCGGAACUGCCUUCGAUACUGGGUAUCUUGAGUUCGGAAGAGGUGAGUGGAAUUGCGAGUGUAGAGGUGAAAUUCGUAGAUAUUCGCAGGAACACCAGUGGCGAAGGCGGCUCACUGGUCCGAUACUGACGCUGAGGUGCGAAAGCGUGGGGAGCAAACAGGAUUAGAUACCCGUG
rnacentral:rRNA from 1 species